CAGUAGCCGCGGGAAUACGAAGGGGGCUAGCGUUGCUCGGAAUUACUGGGCGUAAAGGGAGCGUAGGCGGAUCGUUUAGUCAGGGGUGAAAUCCCGGGGCUCAACCUCGGAACUGCCUUUGAUACUGGCGAUCUUGAGUAUGGGAGAGGUGUGUGGAACUCCGAGUGUAGAGGUGAAAUUCGUAGAUAUUCGGAAGAACACCAGUGGCGAAGGCGACACACUGGCCCAUUACUGACGCUGAGGCUCGAAAGCGUGGGGAGCAAACAGGAUUAGAUACCCGUGUAGUCCCUGUCUCUUAUAC
rnacentral:rRNA from 1 species